GGGGCACCUACUUCCCAACAUAUAUAUACAUAUAUAGGGAAUAGGGUGCCAUUUGGGAUGCCAUCUUUGUGUGUGUGUCUGUGUGUGAGUCAGGAUGUGUUUUGUGUCAAUUAAUUGAUGGAAAUGUUUCCCUCAGAAAGAAAGAUGGAUCGUAAUGAUGAGAGAAUCAAAAGAGCUUUAAGACGCCGCCCUUAUGUGUUGAAACCAGUGAGGGUGAACACCCCUGAUUCCGUGUUGUGGCCAACCGGCAUGGUGCACAGAAGGCCAAAGCCUUCUGGAAGGGUGACUCGGCUGAUAGAGAGAAAAUAUGAUGACGUGAUCUCAUCCUCCAGUUCUGAUGACUUUUCCA